rnacentral:rRNA from 1 species
ACGAACGCUGGCGGCAUGCCUAACACAUGCAAGUCGAACGAGACCUUCGCGUCUAUUUGCUCACGGGUGCGUAACGCGUGGGAACCUGCCCUUAGGUUCGGAAUAACUCCCCUAAAGUGGUUCUAAUACCGGAUAAUUUCUUCGUACCAAAGAUUUAUCGCCUUUGGAUGGGCCCGCGUUGGAUUAGCUUGUUGGUAGGGUAAAAGCCUACCAAUGCGACGACACAUAGCUGGUCUGAGAGGAUGAUCAGCCACACUGGGACUGAGACACGGCCCAGACUCCUACGGGAGGGAGCAGAGGGGAAUAUUGGAAAAUGGGCGAAAGCAUGAACAAGCAAGGCCGCGUGAGUGAUGAAGGCAUUAGGGUAGUAAAGCUCUAUUACACGGGAUGAUAAUGACAGUACCGGGAGAAUAAGCACCGGCUAACUACGUG